rnacentral:rRNA from 1 species
AUUGAACGCUGGCGGCAUGCCUUACACAUGCAAGUCGAACGGCAGCACGGGAGCAAUCCUGGUGGCGAGUGGCGAACGGGUGAGUAAUAUAUCGGAACGUGCCCAGUCGUGGGGGAUAACGUAGCGAAAGCUACGCUAAUACCGCAUACGAUCUAUGGAUGAAAGCGGGGGAUCGCAAGACCUCGCGCGAUUGGAGCGGCCGAUAUCAGAUUAGGUAGUUGGUGAGGUAAAGGCUCACCAAGCCGACGAUCUGUAGCUGGUCUGAGAGGACGGCCAGCCACACUGGAACUGAGACACGGGCCAGACUCCUACGGGAGGCAGCAGUGGGGAAUUUUGGACAAUGGGCGCAAGCCUGAUCCAGCAAUGCCGCGUGCAGGAUGAAGGCCUUCGGGUUGUAAACUGCUUUUGUACGGAACGAAACGGUGAGCUCUAAUACAGUUUGCUAAUGACGGUACCGUAAGAAUAAGCACCGGCUAACUACGUGCCAGCCGCCGCAGUAA